rnacentral:rRNA from 1 species
AAUGGGAUACCUAAAGUUCCCAUGGCAAACUGCUCAGUAACACAUGAUCAACUUACCCUAUGGAGAAAAAUAACCUCGGGAAAGUAUCAUAUCUUAAAUUACUAUGAUGCCCCGAAACUGAGGAUAAUGUUUCAUAGUUGAAUUGGCUUGGAAAAGUUUUUCAACCAAAGUGAUAAGAAAAAUGGUUCUUAUUUGCCAUAGGAUAGGAUCGUGGUCGAUUAUGGUUGUUGGUGAGGUAACGGCUCACCAAGCCGACAAUCGAUAGGGGCCGUGAGAGCGGGAGCCCCGAGAUGGGUACUUAGACAGCGACCCAGGCCUUACGAGGCGCAGCAGGUGCGAAACCUCCGCAAUACACGAAAGUGUGACGGGGUUACCCAAAGUGUUCUUUAAUGAACUGUGGUAGGUGAGUAAUGUCCCCUACUAGAAAGGAGAGGGCAAGGCUGACUGGAAAGAGAAUAUGGUUUAUUCCCUCUUCCAGGCCUAUGUGCCAGCCGCCGCGGUAAAACCAGCUCUUCAAGUGGUCGGGAUAAUUAUUGGGCUUAA